CAGUAGCCACGGUAAUACGUAGGGUGCGAGCGUUAAUCGGAAUUACUGGGCGUAAAGCGUGCGCAGGCGGUUGUGUAAGACAGGUGUGAAAUCCCCGGGCUUAACCUGGGAACUGCGCUUGUGACUGCACAGCUAGAGUAUGGCAGAGGGGGGUGGAAUUCCACGUGUAGCAGUGAAAUGCGUAGAGAUGUGGAGGAACACCGAUGGCGAAGGCAGCCCCCUGGGCCAAUACUGACGCUCAUGCACGAAAGCGUGGGGAGCGAACAGGAUUAGAUACCCCCGUAGUCCCUGUCUCUUAUAC
rnacentral:rRNA from 1 species